UGGGGAAUAUUGCACAAUGGGCGCAAGCCUGAUGCAGCCAUGCCGCGUGUGUGAAGAAGGCCUUCGGGUUGUAAAGCACUUUCAGCGGGGAGGAAGGCGUUAAGGUUAAUAACCUUGGCGAUUGACGUUACCCGCAGAAGAAGCACCGGCUAACUCCGUGCCAGCAGCCGCGGUAAUACGGAGGGUGCAAGCGUUAAUCGGAAUUACUGGGCGUAAAGCGCACGCAGGCGGUCUGUCAAGUCGGAUGUGAAAUCCCCGGGCUCAACCUGGGAACUGCAUUCGAAACUGGCAGGCUAGAGUCUUGUAGAGGGGGGUAGAAUUCCAGGUGGAGCGGUGAAAUGCGUAGAGAUCUGGAGGAAUACCGGUGGCGAAGGCGGCCCCCUGGACAAAGACUGACGCUCAGGUGCGAAAGCGUGGGGAGCAAACAGG
rnacentral:rRNA from 1 species